GCACGUCCCGGAUCUUUUCCAAUCCGGCAGCUAACUUGCAAGCGGUCGCGGCUGGUGAUUAUGGGCAUAACAUUGGCAAUGCUCUUUUCUCAAGCUCCCGUGCGGAUAGUUUUUACCGCAUAGCGAUUUUUAUCUCCGAGCGCACAAGGGCGCAAUUAUGGCAUUAUUUUAUCGCCUCUCUUUUCCACACGACUCUCGCACUCCCAAAAAUUUGCGUGCUUUGCGUGUGCGGACUAAAAACACGUUUUUAGACCGUUCCAACUUGCGGCAUUGGUUUGCCGUCCCGUGCGGUGUGGUUAUUUGACACCCUCUUUAAUCGUUCCAAAACGAACGGGCGAAUUUUCGUUUGUCCGAGCCACGAAAAUAGGUUUCCCACAAAAAAGGCUCUUUGUUU
rnacentral:sRNA from 12 species